rnacentral:rRNA from 1 species
CCUAGGGGGAGCAGCAGUGGGGAAUAUUGGACAAUGGGCGAAAGCCUGAUCCAGCCAUGCCGCGUGUGUGAAGAAGGCCUUCGGGUUGUAAAGCACUUUCAGUGGGGAAGAAAGCCUUGGGGCUAAUACCCUCGAGGAAGGACAUCACCCACAGAAGAAGCACCGGCUAACUCCGUGCCAGCAGCCGCGGUAAUACGGAGGGUGCGAGCGUUAAUCGGAAUUACUGGGCGUAAAGCGCGCGUAGGCGGUCUGAUAAGCCGGUUGUGAAAGCCCCGGGCUCAACCUGGGAACGGCAUCCGGAACUGUCAGGCUAGAGUGCAGGAGAGGAAGGUAGAAUUCCCGGUGUAGCGGUGAAAUGCGUAGAGAUCGGGAGGAAUACCAGUGGCGAAGGCGGCCUUCUGGACUGACACUGACGCUGAGGUGCGAAAGCGUGGGUAGCAAACAGGAUUAGAUACCCCGGUAGUC